UGGCGGUCACUAAAUUAGUGACUGCUUUGGUGGCGGUCACUAAUUUAGUGACUGCCAAGGCGGACACUAAAUUAGUGACUGCCUUGGUGGCGGUCACUAAAUUAGUGACUGCUUUU